GUCAGGUUUCUCUAAUAAAGGUGUCGGCAGCAGGCAGACACCUCUGGAGGCAGCCAGCGUACCUUGCUGCUUCCCUUGGGAGAAGGCACUCCAGACCUGGACCAGCGACUUGGGUGCAGGAGGAGGAGAAGUCUUUAAUCAGAAGAAAAUCUGGCUUAUCCCUAAAGCCCAGGGUCUGAGCCUGUGCAGUGCAAACAGAAUCCUCCAGAGCCUCCGGGAGGAGAUUGCACAGAGACAAGCAAACACAUGGCUGUAGCUGUACGAGACGAGAGCUGCACGGCACAGCAACAACCAGGCGUAUUUAUGAUGAUCACAAAGAAAAGAUCACAACAAAUCCUGGCAAAAAAAAGGAAGCAAGAAGAGUGAGCCGAGCUACAGAUAAGAAGCAACAAAUCAGGAAUGGGAGGAAGAUAAUGGCUGUGAUUAAAAAUCAGAUGCUAUGAAAUGAAGAACAAUGGAUAUGAGAAGUAAAAGUAUCCAUUAAAAAAAAAUCCAUAGCCAAAUGUGUUAUGGACAACAGGAAAGCAUUCUAAAUUAUCUGGAACAAAAGAAAUUCUAGCAAAAUUACGAUGUCAUAGAUCUGGAUUUUGAUAGGUGCAGUAAUGCUGUCAAUAAUAAUGCAGAUGAGGCAGAAAAGCCCAAAACCUGCUCAGUGAAACGAUGAGGACAACAUAUUUCCAGCUCUCGGCCCCCAUCAUUCUCUAUUCCAAAGGCGAUUGCGUAGCAGCUACCAAAUUGUUCACAGUUUAAAAAAUGUUAAUCUGUAACCUUAAUUAACUGUAAUAAUUAUUAAUUUUUUAAAAGCUUGCAAUUAAUUUUUAAACUAGUUUUUCUCCGCAAGAUCGGCCAACUUGUUUCUAAAUUUGCAGAGGAAAUCACUAAAUAUUUUAAAAGAACGACAGAAUAAAGCUGAUUUGGGGAUGGGAUUCAGAAGAGAGUGGAAAAUGGGGCUGUGGGGCAUCCUUGACCUCCCCGUAAUGCUCAGUGCGCUGCUGUCUCCCUAAGCCUUCUCCGCUCUGUGCUUAAGUUCAGUCUUACAUUACAAACUACCCUCCUCUAUUUUCCUCCCAGCACCAACACGCAAUGCCUGCACGCUCUUCUUUGCCAAUGACACUGAGCUGUGUGGUGCAGUCAACAGGAUGGAGGGAAGGGAUGCAUCCAGAGGGACCUGGCCAGGCUGGAGAGGUGGGACUGUGUGAACCCAUGGAGUUCAAGGGCAAAGGCAAAGUUCAAGGCCAAGGGCGAAGUCCUACACCUGGGUCAGGGCAAUCUCAAGCACAAAUGCAGACUGGGCAGAGAAUGGAUUGGGAAGAGCCCUGAGGAGAAAGACUAGGGGUGCUGGGGGAUGAGAAACUCGACACGAGUCGGCUUGCAGCCAGAAACCAACCAUGUCCUGGGCUGUAUCCAAAGCAGUGGGAGCAGCAGGCUGAGGGAUGGGAUUUUGCCCCUCUGCUCUGCUCCGGUAAGACCCCACCUGGAGCCCUGUGUCCAGUUCUGGAGUUCUCAGGAAGGACUUGGAGCUCUUGGAGUGAGUCCAGCGGAGGCCGCAAAG